rnacentral:rRNA from 1 species
GUAAGGAAUAUUGGACAAUGGGCGGGAGCCUGAUCCAGCCAUCCCGCGUGCAGGACGAAGGCCCUCCGGGUCGUAAACUGCUUUUACAGGGGAAGAAACCCAUGGAUUCAUCCGUGGCUGACGGUACCCUGCGAACAAGCACCGGCUAACUCCGUGCCAGCAGCCGCGGUAAUACGGAGGGUGCGAGCGUUAUCCGGAAUCACUGGGUUUAAAGGGUGCGCAGGCGGCGUGCUAAGUCAGGGGUGAAAUCCCGCCGCUCAACGGCGGAACUGCCCUUGAUACUGGCAUGCUCGGAUCGGCGCGAGGCAGGCGGAACGCGGCAUGUAGCGGUGAAAUGCAUAGAUAUGCCGCAGAACACCGAUUGCGUAGGCAGCCUGCCAGAGCCGCAUCGACGCUGAGGCACGAAAGCGUGGGGAGCGAACAGGAUUAGAUACCCUUGUAGUCC